CAGAGCGAACGGCUGAGGUCGAUGGAGGAACGACAUCGGCAAUGCCAGCAGGAGGAGGCAGACAGGAGAGCCGAGCACGAAUGAUCGGCUCAAAGGCAACAGUCGGACAUUAAUCUGCAAGCACCAAUGAUUAGCGGGUCCGUCAAUCUACUCUCAAUCAUUCUCCGGUGUCUUAUUCGCUUCGUGGAAUUUAUCCUUCACUCACGAACAAAGGAGGCUUAUUGAGCGCAUCGGCUUUAUACAAAUGGAUCGUGUGUCCACGCUUCGAAGCGAGGGCUGUUUUGACAUUGAAAUGCGUGCUCUAAUGUUUCAUCAUUAGACUGCUAUCGGAGGAUGCAGAGGUAAAUACUAUGCUGCUGUUCUUAGAUGGCCCUUGUUUUCGGGCGGCUUUAUGCAGAAACAGCAACACUAUAUUAUGGUAACCGCUGAGUGGUAAUGGAGUAGGCCCUAUAUACAUCCAUUACCACUCAGCAGAAUAGUAUACUGAAGAUUUCACUGUCGAGUUAUUCAAAACCUGCAAAAUGGUAUAUUUGGACGCUGGUUUAUAUAUAUAUAUAUAUAAAAUUGUAGUUGGUUUGUAUUUAAUAGUUAGCUAUGGUUAUUAGUCAUGUCGGUGAUGCAGAGUCAUAUCUGGUAUAAUCUGUGAUAAUGAAGUAAUGAAGGAACUCACCGUGUCUACUGUCAUUUGGAGUGACAUACAGGUGAAAGCGAUGCAUUCAAUGCAAAGAGAUUACAAGAAUUCGCGUAUAUUCGACAAUGUUAGAUAGAGUUUUCGAAUUGAUGACACCGAGCGUUAUCCAGACCAGAAGGAUGUAAUCUGCGCCGAUUUGUGCAGUGAACCGAUCUAUGUUGUGUUCCAAUACCAAAUAUUCACGACUAUAAUUUAUAUUAUCAAGUAAAUAUUGUGUGUGAUUGCAAUUUCGUUCGUAUGUUGCAGCGCGUACGUGCAUAGCAACCUCCCCAGCUGGCUAGGGCGGUUGCUAUGCGUUAUGGUGCUGCUAUUCCUGUUAUGAUACAGUAUUCUUUUGCGAUUAUUACAUAUCAUUAAUUUACUCCAGUUAUGUUACGAUUUUAUCCUGUGAUUUUAAACAAUUAUGUUCGUUCAUGCGCUGUUUUCAAUAUAUAAACAGCAUUAUAAGAAAGAAAUCGCAGCCGCUAGUAUAGCAGUUGUGCCGUCGUUAUAUGGGUGAAAGACUCGUUUCAUUCUAGCUACUGUCGACUUAUAUUUCUACAUGAUUGUUCCAAUAAGUGCGCCGAAGCCUCGGCUAAAAAUGUUUACUAACACUGUUGUUACGUGCUUCGCGCAUAUACUGACAAUCGCUUAUACGAUUGGAGAGGCGGUUACUAUAAAGCGGUUACAUGUUUGUCGUGACGCGUGAAAUGUUUGCAUUGUGCUCGCGCACGUUCGGCAAAUCAGGCUGCCGUGUCUCCGCGCAUGCCUCAUGCUUGGUGGCUUAAUUUACGGCUAGUUUAUCGUUGA